GGCUUCUUUUAGCAGCUCUGGAACCUUGGAAGACACUGGCCUACCUCAGAGAGUAUCCUUGCAUGACUGCUUCCUGAGAGGCUUCAUCGGGCAGUGGAUGGAAACAGAUGCAGAGUAUUAGAGACAAACAACAGAAAAAGCUCAGGAAGUCUUGUAGAAGAGUUGGGGAUAAAAUCAAACAAGCUAGAGGAGUCAAGCAUACCUCACGACGACCUAAAGAGUCAACUAACUUGGGACCAUACAACUCAGAGAAGAGCUCAAGCCACUUCUUCACAGUGUCUUGAAUGAAAGUGCAGAUGACUUUCAGGACCUUGCUCUGAUGGAGUACAUCUCAGGAGAUGCUCAGCAGUAGGUCCUCUGAGGAAACCAUACCACAGAAGAAGCUGAGCAGUACAAAUGAAGAAGAUUUCUAAUACCUCAACGUGAACCUUUCCUCAGAAGUUGCCAUUGUUCCUUUUGUGACUUAUUUCAGUGAAAACUUUUGCCAGUCAUGUCCAUUCAACUGAUGUCUCAGAUAUUUGGAAUCAUUUACUGGUGGUGAAUGUGGAGGAAUUUGGAGGCGUGAGCUGCAGAAACAAAGCUCAAUGGUUUGUUCUGUUGGGAGGCUGGGAAACAGAAUGCUGAUAGGAAGGAGAUAUAUACAGACUAUGCUCUUGAGCUUUCAGAAGAAA